rnacentral:tRNA from 1 species
GGUUCCAUAGUGUAAAGCAGUGGUUAGCACGUCUGCUUUACACACAGAAGGUCCUGGGUUUACACCCCAGUGGAGCCA